rnacentral:tRNA from 1 species
CAGAGGGUAGUUUAAC